rnacentral:rRNA from 1 species
GACGAACGCUGGCGGCGUGCCUAAUACAUGCAAGUAGAACGCACAGUUUAUACCGUAGCUUGCUCCACCAUAGACUGUGAGUUGCGAACGGGUGAGUAACGCGUAGGUAACCUGCCUGGUAGCGGGGGAUAACUAUUGGAAACGAUAGCUAAUACCGCAUAAUAUUAAUUAUUGCAUGAUAAUUAAUUGAAAGGUGCAAUUGCACCACUACCAGAUGGACCUGCGUUGUAUUAGCUAGUAGGUGAGGUAACGGCUCACCUAGGCGACGAUACAUAGCCGAGCAGAGAGUGUGAUCGGCCACACGGGGAUUGAGACACGGCCCAGACCCCUAGGGGGGGCAGCAGUAGGGAAUCUUGAGCAAUGGAGGAAAGUGUGACAGGGGACCGCCGCGUGAGUGAAGAAGGUUAUCGGAGAGUAAAGCUCUGUUGAAAGAGAAGAACGGGUGUAAGAGUGUAAAGGUCACACGGGGGUGGUAUAUUAGCAGAAAGGGACGGGUAACCAC